UUUUAACGAGAGUUUGAUCCUGGCUCAGGAUGAACGCUGGCGGCGUGCCUAACACAUGCAAGUCGAGCGAAGCGCUAUAGUUGGAUUCUUCGGAUGACGACUUUAGUGACUGAGCGGCGGACGGGUGAGUAACGCGUGGGCAACCUGCCUCGCACAGGGGGAUAACAGUUAGAAAUGACUGCUAAU
rnacentral:rRNA from 1 species